rnacentral:rRNA from 1 species
AGCAUUAUACCGUGAAACUGCGAAUGGCUCAUUAAAUCAGUUAUCGUUUAUUUGAUAGUACCUUACUACUUGGAUACCCGUGGUAAUUCUAGAGCUAAUACAUGCUAAAAACCCCGACUUCGGGAGGGGUGUGUUUAUUAGAUAAAAAACCAACGCCCUUCGGGGCUCCUUGGUGAUUCAUGAUAACCUCUCAGAUCGCACGGCCUUGCGCCGGCGACGGUUCAUUCAAAUUUCUGCCCUAUCAACUUUCGAUGGUAAGGUAUUGGCUUACCAUGGUUUCAACGGGUAACGGGGAAUUAGGGUUCGAUUCCGGAGAGUGAGCCUGAGAAACGGCUCACACAUCCAAGGAAGGCAGCAGGCGCGCAAAUUACCCAAUCCCGACACGGGGAGGUAGUGACAAUAAAUACUGAUACAGGGCUCUUUUGGGUCUUGUAAUUGGAAUGAGUACAAUUUAAACCUCUUAACGAGGAACAAUUGGAGGGCAAGUCUGGUGGACAUUCAGCUCCCAUUCUGCUGACGCCAGAGAUAGUCGGGCAGCUUCAUGCGAAGCUGUUAUGCCGGCUAGUCGAGUACCUACUUAAUUGAUGGGGAGGUACCGGCAAGACAACCUGGAUCGGGGAAGGCUAAGGCAUGAAAGUGCUAUGCUAAUCCCGAGCAGAGCUACCAAGGAGCGAUCCCUGGAUAGCCUGUGUAGAGCGCGCUAAGGUGUCGGCCAGCUCACGUAGUUGGCUUAAGGGACGUGCCAUUCCCAUCCGAAAGGGUGGCUGCCAGCAGAAGCGCCCAUCACGCGAGCGCUGGCAGGUUCAAAGCUGUUUACACAGAUAGAGGGGGGUGAUGAUGUCGCCUUCCUCUAGCACUGUGAACAUUUUGAAGUGUAUCUAAAAGGCCAGCAGCCGCGGUAAUUCCAGCUCCAAUAGCGUAUAUUAAAGUUGUUGCAGUUAAAAAGCUCGUAGUUGAAUCUUUGGCCUGGCUGGCGGGUCCGCCUCACCGCGUGCACUUGUCCGGCCGGGCCUUCUCUUCUGGAGAACCGCAUGCCCUUCACUGGGCGUGUUGGGGACCAGGACUUUUACUUUGAAAAAAUUAGAGUGUUCAAAGCAGGCCUUUGCUCGAAUACGUUAGCAUGGAAUAAUAGAAUAGGACGUGCGGUCCUAUUUUGUUGGUUUCUAGGACCGCCGUAAUGAUUAAUAGGGACAGUCGGGGGCAUCAGUAUUCAAUUGUCAGAGGUGAAAUUCUUGGAUUUAUUGAAGACUAACUACUGCGAAAGCAUUUGCCAAGGAUGUUUUCAUUAAUCAGUGAACGAAAGUUAGGGGAUCGAAGACGAUCAGAUACCGUCGUAGUCUUAACCAUAAACUAUGCCGACUAGGGAUCGGGCGGUGUUAUCGAUUUGACCCGCUCGGCACCUUGCGAGAAAUCAAAGUGUU